GGGAAGGCAGCAGCCCUAGGGGCG
rnacentral:SRP_RNA from 16 species